rnacentral:lncRNA from 8 species
NNNNNNNNNNNNNNNNGGCUGCCGUCACGACGGCACUGUGCGACACCCCCCCUCCCCAACCCACCUAUUUCUGGAGGUGGCUCUGGUUCCGGCCGUUCCAGGCUGUCGGGCCACUCUGGCAUCGCCGAGGGGCAGUCGGACCAGUCUGGCAUCGCCGGGGGACAGUCUGGGCAGUCUGGUAGUUCGGGACAGUCUGGGCAGUCUGGCAGUUCGGGACAGUCUGGGCAGUCUGGCAAUUCGGGACAGUCUGGCCACUCCGGCCACUCCGGCAGUUCAGGGCAGUCUGGCCACUCCGGCAGUUCAGGGUAGUCUGGCCACUCUGGCAGUUCAGGGCAGUCUGGCCACUCCGGCAGUUCAGGGCAGACUGGCCACUCCGGCAGUUCAGGGCAGUCUGGCCACUCCGGCAGUUCAGGGCAGUCUGGCCACUCCGGCAGUUCAGGGCAGUCUGGCCACUCCGGCAGUUCAGCGCAGUCUGGCCACUCCGGCAGUUCAGCGCAGUCUGGCCACUCCGGCAGUUCAGCGCAGUCUGGCCACUCCGGCAGUUCAGCGCAGUCUGGCCACUCCGGCAGUUCAGCGCAGUCUGGCUACUCCGGCAGUUCAGCGCAGUCUGACCUCUCUGGCGACUGUUGACUGGCGGGCAGCUCUGGCGACUGUUGACUGGCGGGCAGCUCUGAUGAUGACUGUUGACUGGCGGGCAGCUCUGAUGAUGACUGUUGACUGGCGGGCAGCUCUGAUGAUGACUGUUGACUGGCGGGCAGCUCUGAUGAUGACUGUUGACUGGCGGGCAGCUCUGAUGAUGACUGUUGACUGGCGGGCAGCUCUGAUGAUGACUGUUGACUGGCGGGCAGCUCUGAUGAUGACAGUUGACUGGCGGGCUGACGCACUAUAAUCCUGGUGCGUGGUGCUGGUACCGGAUAUACCAGCUUAUGAACACGCACCUCCAGGCUAGUGCGGGGAGCGGGAACAGGACGAGUCGGACUGGGUUGACGCACUUCCGGGUCCGCACGAGAGACAGGAGCUGGAAACCCAGGGCUAUGGAGGCGCAC